AUGGCCUCCCCCGCCUUGUCCGGCACCCACCAUCGCCUCCUUCUCCCCUGUUUCCUGCGCCGCCUCCCCCGGCCCCGCUCGCGCUCGUGCUCCCGCCUCCGCCUCGACGCCUGCCACGCCGACACCCUCCUUUCCUCCUCCGGGGCCCAGGGGCCGCCCGCCCCCGCGGCGUGCUCGUCCGCAUCCUCCGCUGGCGGGUUCUCUGACUGGCUACUCACGAAUGGGCUGCCGCCGGGCAAGGUGGCCAUCCUGGAGCGCCCCGUCCCGUGCUCUCGCGGGGGCAAAGACCGGCCAUUACACUUCGUCGCUGCUGGGCAGGACCUCGAGGCGGGGGAUGUGGCGUUCGAGGUGCCCAUGUCGCUCGUUGUCACGCUGGAGCGGGUUCUCGGCGACGAGUCGGUCGCUGAAUUGUUAACAACAAACAAAUUGUCUGAGCUGGCAUGCUUGGCAUUGUAUCUCAUGUAUGAGAAGAAGCAAGGAAGAGAUUCACUUUGGUACCCGUAUAUUAAAGAACUUGAUCGUCAGCGAGGCAGGGGGCAGCUAGCUGUUGAAUCACCUCUUUUAUGGACUGAAAGUGAACUGGAUUACCUGAAUGGCAGCCCCAUGAGGGAUGAAGUUGUUGUUAGAGAUGAGGGAAUAAGAAGAGAGUAUAAUGAGCUUGACACAUUGUGGUUCAUGGCAGGUUCAUUGUUUAAGCAAUACCCUUUUGAUGUACCUACUGAGGCGUUCCCGUUUGAGAUCUUCAAGCAGGCAUUUGUUGCAGUACAGUCUUGUGUGGUUCACUUGCAGAAGGUUAGUUUAGCUCGAAGAUUUGCACUAGUUCCCUUGGGCCCACCACUGUUGACGUACAAGAGCAACUGCAAAGCAAUGCUGACUGCUGUUGAUGGUUCUGUUCGAUUGCUGGUCGAUCGGCCGUACAAAGCAGGAGAACCAAUAAUUGUUUGGUGUGGGCCUCAACCAAACUCCAGGUUGCUUCUCAAUUAUGGUUUUGUUGAUGAAGACAAUCCAUAUGAUCGCAUAGCAAUCGAGGCAUCCCUAAACACUGAAGAUCCUCAAUACCAAGAGAAGAGAAUGGUCGCUCAAAGAAAUGGAAAGCUUGCUAUCCAAAAAUUCCAAGUCUGUGUAGGCAAAGAGAAGGAAACUAUUUCUGAAAUGCUGCCAUACUUGAGACUAGGAUACAUUUCAGAUCCAGAUGAAAUGCAAUGUAUACUUUCGUCAGAAGGUGAUACAUGUCCAGUUAGUCCAUGCUCAGAGCGAGCUGUACUUGACCAACUUGUUGUCUACCUGAAAUCAAGAUUGGCUGGUUAUCCGACUACUUUGGACGAGGAUGAAGCAAUGCUGGCCGAUGGCAGUUUGGAACCAAAGAAAGAAGUUGCUACUAGACUUGUAAGGUUAGAGAAGAAAAUGCUGCAUGGCUGUCUUCAGGCUGCUAACGAGUUCAUAAGUGGCUUGCCUGAUCAUACCGUAUCACCUUGCCCUGCUCUAUAUGCUCCUGAAUUGAAAUAA
rnacentral:rRNA from 1 species